rnacentral:siRNA from 1 species
CUUUCAAACAAGGUAUGGGCA